rnacentral:rRNA from 1 species
CAGUAGCCGCGGGAAUACAGAGGGUGCAAGCGUUAAUCGGAAUUACUGGGCGUAAAGCGCGCGUAGGUUGUUUGUUAAGUUGGAUGUGAAAUCCCCGGGCUCAACCUGGGAACUGCAUCCAAAACUGGCAAGCUAGAGUAUGGUAGAGGGUGGUGGAAUUUCCUGUGUAGCGGUGAAAUGCGUAGAUAUAGGAAGGAACACCAGUGGCGAAGGCGACCACCUGGACUGAUACUGACACUGAGGUGCGAAAGCGUGGGGAGCAAACAGGAUUAGAUACCCGAGUAGUCCCUGUCUCUUAUAC